CAAGUCGAGCGAGAACCAGGACUUCGGUCCUGGGGACAGCGGCGAACGGGUGAGUAUCACGUGGAUAACCUGCCCUCGGCACCGGGAUAGCCCGGGGAAACCCGGAUUAAUACCGGAUGGCCCUUCCGGCUCACGAGCCGGUCGGAAAAGGUAGCUUCGGCCUCCGGCCGAGGAUGGGUCCGCGGCGGAUUAGCUUGUUGGUGGGGUAACGGCCUACCAAGGCUCCGAUCCGUAGCUGGUCUGAGAGGACGAUCAGCCACACUGGGACUGAGACACGGCCCAGACUCCUACGGGAGGCAGCAGUGGGGAAUCUUGCACAAUGGGCGAAAGCCUGAUGCAGCGACGCCGCGUGAGGGAGGAAGGCCUUCGGGUUGUAAACCUCUUUCAGGAGGGACGAAGCUACUCGGGUUAAUAGCCCAGAGGGUGACGGUACCUCCAGAAGAAGCCCCGGCUAACUACGUGCCAGCAGCCGCGGUAAUACGUAGGGGGCAAGCGUUGUCCGGAUUUACUGGGCGUAAAGCGCGUGUAGGCGGCCACGCAGGUCCGUUGUGAAAACUGGAGGCUCAACCUCCAGACGUCGACGGAAACCGUGUGGCUAGAGUCCGGAAGAGGAGAGUGGAAUUCCUGGUGUAGCGGUGAAAUGCGCAGAUAUCAGGAAGAACACCAAUGGCGAAGGCAGCUCUCUGGGACGGUACUGACGCUGAGACGCGAAAGCGUGGGGAGCGAACAGGAUUAGAUACCCUGGUAGUCCACGCCGUAAACGAUGGGUGCUAGGUGUGGGAGGUGUCGACUCCUUCCGUGCCGUAGCUSACGCAUUAAGCACCCCGCCUGGGGAGUACGGCCGCAAGGCUAAAACUCAAAGGAAUUGACGGGGCCCCGCACAAGCAGCGGA
rnacentral:rRNA from 1 species